rnacentral:rRNA from 1 species
AGAGUUUGAUCCUGGCUCAAGAUGAACGCUGGCGGCAUGCCUAAUACAUGCAAGUCGAACGGGGUGCUUGCACCCAGUGGCGAACGGGUGAGUAACACGUAUCUAAUCUACCUUUUAGUGGGGGAUAACAGUUGGAAACGACUGCUAAUACCGCAUACGACGUCAUUAUCGCAUGAGAAGACGUUAAAAGAUCCGUUUGGAUCGCUAGAAGAUGAUGAUGCGGCGUAUUAGCUAGUAGGUGAGGUAAUGGCUCACCUAGGCGAUGAUACGUAGCCGAACUGAGAGGUUGAUCGGCCACAUUGGGACUGAGAUACGGCCCACACUCCUACGGGAGGCAGCAGUAGGGAAUUUUUCACAAUGGACGAAAGUCUGAUGAAGCAAUGCCGCGUGAGUGAUGACGGUCUUCGGAUUGUAAAGCUCUGUUGUAAGGGAAGAAAUGGUAAGAUAGGAAAAUGAUUCUGCUUUGACGGAACCUUACCAGACAGCCACGGCUAACUAUGUGCCCCCGCCGCGGAAUAC